rnacentral:lncRNA from 1 species
UUAGUCAUCAUUGACAUGGAGAGUGCCUUUGAUCCUAUCCCCUCAGCAGCCAGUUCCUGCCCCUGUGGUCAAAAUGCCCCAGGUUGGGGGACAGAGAAGCCCCUGAGAUAGUUUCAGAGGGAAUCUACAACAAACUGUGAUGAACUUUGUUUUGCCAGUCAAAAUUUAGAAUUCAGGCUUUGGCUGUGGCCAAGGUCAGGAUUAAUGUUUUCUUUUCCAUGGACCUUUAGCCCACUGAGACAGUUUGGUAAAGGGCUGCUACUGAGGUCCUGAAAGUCCCAGGUGAACUGGUUACAAUUCUUUUGUCAGCCACUUGGCAUCUAGCACCCAGGUCCUAACCAUCUCUCCAUCCUUUUGUUAUUAGUUCUUAAGUCCAGAGAGAUAGUCGGUAACAGAUCAGCUCCCUCUCUGCUUGCCGUUCUGUUUCACAGACACAAAGCUUGUGCUUAUUUUUACAACGGCCUUUUUAUCCCAAAAAGUCCUCCUGGUUUAGCUGUAUGACUAAAUGCUAUUUGUCCUCUUCAGUGAACCUCUAUUCUCUAGAUUCUCUUCUUGUUUUCUCACAUCCCAUUUGAGAUGCUUGUUAGUAACUGUUACAGGUCUUCUUUACCACUGAGGAAAGACGGAAUCCUACUGGAGGCCAGAAAGAAUGUUCCAGACAUGGAUGGAAGACCCUCACUCCUGACUGUUGACUUGAAUACCCCUGAAGGUAGGGAGUGCUCCAGGUCUGCCACCAGGCUCCAAGGGUGGGUCUCUGAGGG